rnacentral:rRNA from 1 species
UACGGAGGGGGCUAGCGUUGUCCGGAAUCAUUGGGCGUAAAGCGCGCGUAGGCGGCUCGCUCAGUCUGUUGUGAAAGUCAAAGGCUCAACCUUUGAAUGCCGAUGGAUACUGUCGAGCUAGAGUCCGGAAGAGGCGAGUGGAAUUCCUGGUGUAGCGGUGGAAUGCGCAGAUAUCAGGAGGAACACCAACGGCGAAGGCAGCUCGCUGGGACGGUACUGACGCUAAGGCGCGAAAGCGUGGGGAGCGAACAGG